rnacentral:rRNA from 1 species
UUAAAUUGAAGAGUUUGAUCAUGGCUCAGAUUGAACGCUGGCGGCAGGCCUAACACAUGCAAGUCGAACGGUAACAGGAAACAGCUUGCUGUUUCGCUGACGAGUGGCGGACGGGUGAGUAAUGUCUGGGAAACUGCCUGAUGGAGGGGGAUAACUACUGGAAACGGUAGCUAAUACCGCAUAACGUCGCAAGACCAAAGAGGGGGACCUUCGGGCCUCUUGCCAUCGGAUGUGCCCAGAUGGGAUUAGCUUGUUGGUGGGGUAACGGCUCACCAAGGCGACGAUCCCUAGCUGGUCUGAGAGGAUGACCAGCCACACUGGAACUGAGACACGGUCCAGACUCCUACGG